CAGGACAUCACAAAAUACAGAGGAAGAGAAGGACACUAUGAGGGACAUGAGUUCAGUCCUGCUCCAGACUUACAGAAGAUCCAGCAAUAAGGACUUCCUAAACAUGCAAAGAACACCAUGGCCUUCCAAAUAAAUUCAUCUGAUGUACCAUGGUUAGCUACCUUGAAUCUGAAGCAGAAAGAGCUAUUAAUGGAGAUUUCCACUGAGCCUCCUCUUCUCCAGGCUGAACAGCCACAGCUUUCAUACCUCUCCAGGUGUUUGAAGGAUCACAUCCCUUGACCUGCUGGCAAGUCUCUGCCUAAUCCAGCCCAGGACAUCAGUAGUCUUCUCUGCCACAAGAGCACUUUGCUGUCUCAUGGACAGCUUGCUGUCCACCAGGAUCCCCAGGGUUUUCUUUGCAGAGCUGCUUUCCACCAUGUUGUUCCCUCCUAUGCGAUAAGGUAAAAAAGUCCAUCAUCAUGCCUUUUGAGGUCUCCAAGGAAGAAUAAAUUUGCAUAGUAAAGCUUUGACACUAUCUUUCAUUCUGCAUGGGGAAGCUCCUUUUUGUCCUGCUGCUGCUGCUGCCACUGAAGCAAGUAUCUAAUGCCAGAGAGGAACUGCUUUCAC